rnacentral:rRNA from 1 species
UACGUAGGGCGCGAGCGUUGUCCGGAAUCAUUGGGCGUAAAGAGCUCGUAGGCGGCCGGUUGCGUCUGCUGUGAAAGCCCGGGGCUCAACCCCGGAGGGUCGGUGGAUACUAUCUGUCUUGAAGGUGCCAGGGGGAGAUGGAAUUACCGGUGUAGCGGUGAAAUGCGUAGAUAUCGGUAGGAACACCAGUGGCGAAGGCGGUCUCCUGGAGCAUACUUGACGCUGAGGCGCGAAAGCUGGGGGAGCGAACGGG